UGCCACGCAGGCCAGGAGUCUUCACACU
rnacentral:piRNA from 1 species